AUUCCAGCUCCAAUAGCGUAUAUUAAAGUUGUUGUGGUUAAAAAGCUCGUAGUUGGAUCUCGGCGGUCUGAGGGCGGUUCGCUUCAGAGCGCUACUGCCCUAUAGACCGUAGUUUUGCCAGAGGUCUCAGGGUGCUCUUAACCGAGUGUCUUGCGAUGCUGGCAGGUUUACUUUGAAAAAAUUAGAGUGCUCAAAGCAGGCUUUUACGCCUGAAUAUUCGUGCAUGGAAUAAUAGAAUAGGAAGUCGUUUCUAUUUUGUUGGUUUUCGGAAAUCGACUCAAUGAUUAAUAGGGACUGUCGGGGGCAUUCGUAUUUCAUUGUCAGAGGUGAAAUUCUUGGAUUUAUGAAAGACGGACCACUGCGAAAGCAUUUGCCAAGGAUGUUUUCAUCG
rnacentral:rRNA from 1 species